CCAGCAGCCGCGGUAAUUCCAGCUCCAAUAGCGUAUAUUAAAGUUGUUGCAGUUAAAAAGCUCGUAGUUGAAUUUCGGGGUCAGUAGGCUGGUAGUGCCAAUGGUAUGUACUGGCCUUACUGAUUCCUCCUUCUUGAAGAACUGUAAUGCCAUUGAUUUGGUAUUGCAGGGAAACAGGACUGUUACUUUGAAAAAAUUAGAGUGUUUAAAGCAGGCAAUCGCUUGAAUACAUUAGCAUGGAAUAAUGAAAUAGGACGUUCGAUCCUAUUUUAGUUGGUUUCUAGGGAUUGACGUAAUGAUUAAUAGGGAUAGUUGGGGGCAUUAGUAUUCAAUUGUCAGAGGUGAAAUUCUUGGAUUUAUUGAAGACUAACUACUGCGAAAGCAUUUGCCAAGGAUGUUUUCAUUAAUCAAGAACGAAAGUUAGGGGAUCGAAGACGAUCAGAUACCGUCGUAGUCUUAACCAUAAACUAUGCCGACUAGGGAUCGGAUGAUGUUAAUUUUUAAUGACUCAUUCGGCGCCUUACG
rnacentral:rRNA from 1 species